GAUGAACGCUGGCGGCGUGCCUAAUACAUGCAAGUCGAGCGAACAGACGAGGAGCUUGCUCCUCUGACGUUAGCGGCGGACGGGUGAGUAACACGUGGAUAACCUACCUAUAAGACUGGGAUAACUUCGGGAAACCGGAGCUAAUACCGGAUAACAUGUUGAACCGCAUGGUUCAACAGUGAAAGACGGUCUUGCUGUCACUUAUAGAUGGAUCCGCGCCGCAUUAGCUAGUUGGUAAGGUAACGGCUUACCAAGGCAACGAUGCGUAGCCGACCUGAGAGGGGGAUCGGCCACACUGGAACUGAGACACGGUCCAGACUCCUACGGGAGGCAGCAGUAGGGAAGCUUCCGCAAUGGGCGAAAGCCUGACGGAGCAACGCCGGGUGAGUGAAGAAGGUCUUCGGAUCGUAAAACUCUGUUAUUAGGGAAGAACAAAUGUGUAAGUAACGAUGCACGUCUUGACGGUACCUAAUCAGAAAGCCACGGCUAACUACGU
rnacentral:rRNA from 1 species